rnacentral:rRNA from 1 species
UGGGGAAUAUUGGACAAUGGGCGAAAGCCUGAUCCAGCCAUGCCGCGUGUGUGAAGAAGGUCUUCGGAUUGUAAAGCACUUUAAGUUGGGAGGAGGGGCAGUAAGCGAAUACCUUGCUGUUUUGACGGUACCGACAGAAUAAGCACCGGCUAACUCUGUGCCAGCAGCCGCGGUAAUACAGAGGGUGCAAGCGUUAAUCGGAAUUACUGGGCGUAAAGCGCGCGUAGGUGGUUCGUUAAGUUGAAUGUGAAAGCCCCGGGCUCAACCUGGGAACUGCAUCCAAAACUGGCGAGCUAGAGUAGGGCAGAGGGUGGUGGAAUUUCCUGUGUAGCGGUGAAAUGCGUAGAUAUAGGAAGGAACACCAGUGGCGAAGGCGACCACCUGGGCUCAUACUGACACUGAGGUGCGAAAGCGUGGGGAGCAAACAGG